rnacentral:rRNA from 1 species
CGUUGUGUUUGAUCCUGGAUCAGGACGAACGCCGGCGGCGUGCCUAAUACAUGCAAGUCGAGCGGACAGAUGGGAGCUUGCUUCCUGAUGUUAGCGGCGGACGGGUGAGUAACACGUGGGUAACCUGCCUGUAAGACUGGGAUAACUCCGGGAAACCGGGGCUAAUACCGGAUGGUUGUCUGAACCGCAUGGUUCAAACAUAAAAGGUGGCUUCGGCUACCACUUACAGAUGGACCCGCGGCGCAUUAGCUAGUUGGUGAGGUAACGGCUCACCAAGGCAACGAUGCGUAGCCGACCUGAGAGGGUGAUCGGCCACACUGGGACUGAGACACGGCCCAGACUCCUACGGGAGGCAGCAGUAGGGAAUCUUCCGCAAUGGACGAAAGUCUGACGGAGCAACGCCGCGUGAGUGAUGAAGGUUUUCGGAUCGUAAAGCUCUGUUGUUAGGGAAGAACAAGUACCGUUCGAAUAGGGCGGUACCUUGACGGUACCUAACCAGAAAGCCACGGCUAACUACGUGCCAGCAGCCGCGGUAAUACGUAGGUGGCAAGCGUUGUCCGGAAUUAUUGGGCGUAAAGGGCUCGCAGGCGGUUUCUUAAGUCUGAUGUGAAAGCCCCCGGCUCAACCGGGGAGGGUCAUUGGAAACUGGGGAACUUGAGUGCAGAAGAGGAGAGUGGAAUUCCACGUGUAGCGGUGAAAUGCGUAGAGAUGUGGAGGAACACCAGUGGCGAAGGCGACUCUCUGGUCUGUAACUGACGCUGAGGAGCGAAAGCGUGGGGAGCGAACAGGAUUAGAUACCCUGGUAGUCCACGCCGUAAACGAUGAGUGCUAAGUGUUAGGGGGUCUCCGCCCCUUAGUGCUGCAGCUAACGCAUUAAGCACUCCCCCCUGGAGACCGAA